GGCUGCAGAAGAGGUCAAGUCAGAGGUGGCAAACCUCAAAAAAGCUCCAGCCUGCAUUCCUCCAUGUGGGUUCCAGAUAAAUGCCCGUUACUAUACCUGCUCAACAUGUAGUUUUGAGGACUGCCAGCUGCCUAUCGAUUGCCCAAGUACAUUCUCUUUGGCUCUUUCUGUGAUUUUCUGUCUUAGUACAGGAUAUUGACAAAAAGGAAGGGGCUGCAACUCUUCUCAGCUGUGAGGUUAAGUUCGAGAUUCCCCGAGAUCGGACAAUCCGGUGGAAAUUUGCUAAGGAUCUCAGAACUGAGGACCUUUUUCUGUUCCAAGACCUGUCCUUUGGGUUCAAUCCAACACUCCUCAUCCGACCCACCUUGGGAGCCCACCAUGGGACAUUCAUCUGCGAGAUUGCAGAAGGAGAUGACAUUCUGCUCAGAAAGUACUUCUACGUCAAUGUGACAGAGAAAAGGCUUGGGCUGGAAAAAGAGCUGCAAAGUAUGUUCAUUGCCAUCCUGAAUCCCCCACCGAAGGCAGAGCAGGAGAUCGUGGAAAGACACCGGCCUUCCCUGGAAGACAUGCUUUCGGGUCCAAACUUCUUGCGCAAAAAGAAUGUCAUUCUCCUCAUCAUAGGAAUAGUCCUGGGCUCCAUGGUCUUCACCAUGGUGGCAAUGACACUUUAUCGCUGGGCCAUGUGAAUGGGAAAGGACUUUGUGGACCUGCCUUCCUCUCCUGCUUUCUUCCCACCAUCCUGUUUUAGUAAAAAAAACCAAAAAAACUCUGUAUACCUUGACGUCAUAUUUGUUAUUGCUGCUAUUUUAUUUGCAUUUGACUUUGAUUUAUGACGAUUGAUUCCAUGAACGAGAGACCCCCAAGAGCUCCUGGUGUCAACUCACGUCUUGCUAACUCUUGCUAACUGUGACUUCAGUGAUUGAAUCCAUUCACUUGUGUGACCUCAUGUUGUUCCUGACUUAUGUUGACUAUAUCAUUAUUAUUAUUAUUAUUAAACUUAUAUACCGCUACUCCCAGUUUGGCUCGGAGCGGUUUACAAAAAUAGAUUAAAACAAUACACUUGGCUUUAAAAUAACAAUAAAAACAACAAUAAAAGCAACAAUAAAAACAGACAUAGCCCCGAGUUUUUCAC
rnacentral:lncRNA from 11 species